UAUUCGACUCACCACAGUCGCUACACCUGC
rnacentral:sRNA from 1 species